AAAAGAACCUGAAACCGUGUACGUACAAGCAGUGGGAGCCCCACCACUAAGCCAGUGGUGAACUCCACAUACGCAUCCUUUGCUGAGGAUACGGUUAACGGAGCGAAAGCGACGUUCAACCGCAAAACAAGCAGAGGGGGCUUAGUGGUGGGGUGACUGCGUACCUUUUGUAUAAUGGGUCAGCGACUUAUAUUCUGUAGCAAGGUUAACCGAAUAGGGGAGCCGGAGGGAAACCGAGUCUUAAUUGGGCGUUAAGUUGCAGGGUAUAGACCCGAAACCCGGUGAUCUAGCCAUGGGCAGGUUGAAGGUUGGGUAACACUAACUGGAGGACCGAACCGACUAAUGUUGAAAAA
rnacentral:rRNA from 1 species